CUCUGUCUCGCUAUGACAGAGAAAUGUAUAUGCUCAAUAUUGCUGUUUAAACUGAUGCUCAAAUUUCCAAGCACCACCUGAACGCCUCAUCGGUCUUUAACUACUCACUGCACCAACUGUCGUCAUUCCGCUUUGCUCUCUGCUGUGGAACUUGACUCGCAUCUGUGCUUUGCCUGUGUGCAGAAGAAGAACAAGGACCAGAUCUCCAGUCUUCUCUCUCACAUCCCAACCCCCCAACCCCUCUAUCCUCUGUACUGCUCCACCUGUUGUCUCUGCCUUCUUUCCAUCUGUAUUUCACCCUGUGGUUUGUGAGAAAUUUUGCCAAACCAAGAAUCUUAUUGCGGUUUGAUUUCAAAGCCGCGUCUCUAAUUUUAGAGUUCGAAGGAACUCUAAUUCACGGUUUAAUUGGGAUUUCCCAGCCGUGUCUUUCCUGCUCUGUCUGUUCUCUCUGCUAAAUUUUCUCUCUACCUGUUUUUCACUCCUGGCUUGCUGCUGAAUAAUGGCAAGCCAAUAAAGCAAUAAAGAGUGCAUAUUUUGCCUCAACCUAUGAACAAACUGAACAAACAAAGAAAACUCUGC